GACGAACGCUGGCGGCGUGCUUAACACAUGCAAGUCGAACGGAAAGGCCCUGCUUUUGUGGGGUGCUCGAGUGGCGAACGGGUGAGUAACACGUGAGUAACCUGCCCUUGACUUUGGGAUAACUUCAGGAAACUGGGGCUAAUACCGGAUAGGAGCUCCUGCUGCAUGGUGGGGGUUGGAAAGUUUCGGCGGUUGGGGAUGGAUUCGCGGCUUAUGAGCUUGUUGGUGGGGUAGUGGCUUACCAAGGCUUUGACGGGUAGCCGGCCUGAGAGGGUGACCGGCGACAUUGGGACUGAGAGACGGACCAGACUCCUACGGGAGGCAGCAGUGGGGAAUAUUGCACAAUGGGCGGAAGCCUGAUGCAGCAACGCCGCGUGCGGGAUGACGGCCUUCGGGUUGUAAACCGCUUUCGCCUGUGACGAAGCGUGAGUGACGGUAAUGGGUAAAGAAGCACCGGCUAACUACGUG
rnacentral:rRNA from 1 species